rnacentral:rRNA from 1 species
ACACAUGCGAGUCGAACGAGCGAGAGAGAGCUUGCUUUCUCGAGCGAGUGGCGAACGGGUGAGUAACGCGUGAGGAACCUGCCCCAAAGAGGGGGACAACAGUUGGAAACGACUGCUAAUACCGCAUAAGCCCACGGGUCGGCAUCGACCAGAGGGAAAAGGAGUGAUCCGCUUUGAGAUGGCCUCGCGUCCGAUUAGCUAGUUGGUGAGGUAACGGCCCACCAAGGCGACGAUCGGUAGCCGGACUGAGAGGUUGAACGGCCACAUUGGGACUGAGACACGGCCCAGACUCCUACGGGAGGCAGCAGUGGGGAAUAUUGCACAAUGGGGGAAACCCUGAUGCAGCGACGCCGCGUGGAGGAAGAAGGUCUUCGGAUUGUAAACUCCUGUUGUUGGGGAAGAUAAUGACGGUACCCAACAAGGAAGUGACGGCUAACUACGUGCCAGCAGCCGCGGUAAAACGUAGGUCACAAGCGUUGUCCGGAAUUACUGGGUGUAAAGGGAGCGCAGGCGGGAAGGCAAGUUGGAAGUGAAAUCCAUGGGCUCAACCCAUGAACUGCUUUCAAAACUGUUUUUCUUGAGUAGUGCAGAGGUAGGCGGAAUUCCCGGUGUAGCGGUGGAAUGCGUAGAUAUCGGGAGGAACACCAGUGGCGAAGGCGGCCUACUGGGCACCAACUGACGCUGAGGCUCGAAAGUGUGGGUAGCAAACAGGAUUAGAUACCCUGGUAGUCCACACCGUAAACGAUGAUUACUAGGUGUUGGAGGAUUGACCCCUUCAGUGCCGCAGUUAACACAAUAAGUAAUCCACCUGGGG